UACAGAGGGGGCAAGCGUUGUUCGGAAUUACUGGGCGUAAAGGGCGCGUAGGCGGCCCUGUAAGUCCCGCGUGAAAGCCCUCGGCUCAACCGAGGAACUGCGCGGGAGACUGCUGGGCUUGAGUUCGGGAGAGGGAAGUGGAAUUCCGGGUGUAGCGGUGAAAUGCGCAGAUAUCCGGAGGAACACCGGUGGCGAAGGCGGCUUCCUGGACCGACACUGACGCUGAGGCGCGACAGCAUGGGGAGCGAACGGG
rnacentral:rRNA from 1 species